rnacentral:rRNA from 1 species
UGAGGAAUAUUGGUCAAUGGGUGCAAGCCUGAACCAGCCAUCCCGCGUGAAGGACGACUGCCCUAUGGGUUGUAAACUUCUUUUGUAUAGGGAUAAACCUACCCUCGUGAGGGUAGCUGAAGGUACUAUACGAAUAAGCACCGGCUAACUCCGUGCCAGCAGCCGCGGUAAUACGGAGGGUGCAAGCGUUAUCCGGAUUUAUUGGGUUUAAAGGGUCCGUAGGCGGACUUAUAAGUCAGUGGUGAAAGCCUGUCGCUUAACGAUAGAACUGCCAUUGAUACUGUAAGCCUAGAGUAUGGAAGAGAGUGAUGGAAUAUCUGGUGUAGCAGUGAAAUGCGUAGAUAUCAGAUAGAACACCAAUGGCGAAGGCAGUCACUUGGUCCAUUACUGACGCUAAAGCACGAAAGCGUGGGUAGCAAACA